CACGUAGGGCGCAAGCGUUGUCCGGAAUUAUUGGGCGUAAAGAGCUCGUGGGCGGUCGGUUGCGUCCGCUGGGAAAACUCGGGGCUUAACCCCGAGCCUGCAGUGGAUACGGGCAGACUAGAGGUAGGUAGGGGAGAAUGGAAUUCCUGGUGUAGCGGUGGAAUGCGCAGAUAUCAGGAGGAACACCGAUAGCGAAGGCAGCUCGCUGGGACGGUACUGACGCUGAGGUGCGAAAGCGUGGGGAGCGAACAGG
rnacentral:rRNA from 1 species